rfam:Chloroflexi bacterium OLB15 TZ15_CFX003CONTIG000117, whole genome shotgun sequence.
GCCGGAGUGGUGAAAUUGGCAGACACGAUUGACUCAAAAUCAGUUGCCUUUGCGGGCUUGUGGGUUCGAGUCCCACCUCCGGCA